AUGGACAGGAGCUGGAUCAUCCUCUACCUGGUGGCAGCAGCUAUAGGAGUCCAUUCUCAGGGUCAUCUGCAGCAGUCUGCCUCUGAACUGAGAGCUCCUGGAGCUGCAGUACAGGUGACCUGCAAGGAUUCUGACCCUAAUGACUUCCCCAUUGCCUGUAUGAAUUGGGUGAGGCAGAAGCCUGGACACGGGCUUGAGUGGAUUGGAAACAUACUCCCAAGCAUUGGUAGAACAAACUAUGCACAGACCUUUGAGGACAGAGCCACACUGACUGCAGAUACACAGUUGAACACAGCCUACAUGGAGCUCAGCAGCCUGACAUCUGAGGACUCUGCCGUCUACUACUGUGCAAGGCACAGAGCCACAGCUCACAUCUCGAGUGUGUCAGAAACUCUGAAGAAAGAGGAAGCUGAAGAGCAACCUGAAGACUUGCUCAAAAUUGUGGUUAUGUUUUGA